rnacentral:rRNA from 1 species
UGAGGAAUAUCGGACAAUGUGCGCAAGCCUUAUCCAGCCAUGCCGCGUGCAGGAAGAAGCAUCUAUUGUGUGUAAACUGCUUUUGUACGGGAAGAAACACUCCUACGUGUAGGAGCUUGACGGUACCGUAAGAAUAAGGAUCGGCUAACUCCGUGCCAGCAGCCUCGGUAAUACGUAGGAUCCAAGCGUUAUCCGGAAUCAUUGGGCUUAACGGGUCCGUAGGCGGUUUAAUAAGUCAGUGGUGAAAGCCAUCGCUCAACUAUGGAACGGCCAUUGAUACUGUUAGACAUGAAAUACAAGGAAGUAACUAGAAUAUGUAGUGUAGCGGUGAGAUGCUUAGAUAUUACAUGGAAUACCAAUUGCGAAGGCAGGUUACUACUUGUGGAUUGACGCUGAUGGACGAAAGCGUGGGGAGAGAACA